AGGAGGCCCAAGGGCCAGAACCGGUGUGUCUCCGACGGCCCCUCCCGCGAGCCCGCUGGACGGCGGACACCUGGAGAACUUGGCCAUUUCCAAAACAUUCCAUCACCUCACGGGCCCAAAUCAGAACCUGUCUCGCGUCCUAUUCCUCGACCUGUUGGAAGCGGUGGAGGCGGAGCUCAGGAUGCCAGCGGUACUCAGCGGCUGCAGGGAGAGGCAGAAAGGUCAGCUCAUCCGUACCGAGAGGCCGGCAGGACUCUGGGCAAGGAGACAUCCUGUCCCCCAGUCUUUAAGCUAAGAUAUCCUGCAGCAUGAGCUACCCACUCGGGGUCUCCCGAGCCUGGGAAUCAGCAGCCGUCAAGGGGACAGUGUAGAUAGGGAGACGGACCCUGUCGUUCCAGGGCUCCUGCAGGUUUGCCCUUUGCUCGGGUGCCCACCGGGUGACAGGCUCCUCCAGGGCUGACACUGAGUUACCUCUUUCCUGCACCCUUGGCACCCAGCUCAAGAGGAAGCCACUCAAGGGACGGUCCACCG